rnacentral:rRNA from 1 species
UACGUAGGGUGCAAGCGUUAAUCGGAAUUACUGGGCGUAAAGCGUGCGCAGGCGGUUUUGUAAGUUCUGUCGUGAAAUCCCCCGGGCUCAACCUGGGAAUUGCGAUGGAGACUGCAAGGCUAGAAUCUGGCAGAGGGGGGUAGAAUUCCACGUGUGAGCAGUGAAAUGCGUAGAGAUAGUGGGAGGAACACCGAUGGCGAAGGCAGCCCCCUGGGUCGAAGAUUGACGCUCCAUGCACGAAGGACGUGGGAGCAACGGAAGUACAGAACCGGAGUAAGAAUCCGAUGAGACCCAG